CGCGCCCGCGCCUCCCACUUCCUGGGGGUUCGCAGCACAGGUGCCAGCUAGAAGCCUCAGAGCUCUACUCAACUCUUUUAAUUGCUCCUUGGAGUGGUCUACUCACCACAUCCAUUUGAUGCUCAAUCCCAAUGUCUUUCAAAUGAAUGGAUCUUCAAAUUGAUUUAAUACAUCUUUACCAGCAUUAAAAAAAAAAAAAGAAGAAAUAGAAAAUCUCAAGUACAUGAAAUGAGUAAAGGUAUAUAUCCUGAUAAUACCAUAAAAAGAUUCAGUGAACUUCCUGUACAUCUGAUCACACA